rnacentral:lncRNA from 1 species
UUUGGAAUUUUUACCUUUCAUUGCAGCAAAUGUCAUUUUCAUCCAUUUUACCAAUAAAAAGAUAAUUUUACCUUCCUAUUCAAAUAAAACAAAAAGAAAUGAAACGAAAGGUUAAAAAAUUAAUUGCAACAAUGGUCUCAAAUUUUUUAAAAAUUACAAAUUAACAUAUCAUCACCCAAAUCACCCACCCCACCCACUACUAUCAGCACUAUUCAAAUCAUUAUUGUCACCUCAAAUUCACGAUGCACCACCGUCACCUUCUUUUCAAAUUCACAACAACCACCACCUCAUCUGCCUCAAACCAUCACCACCACCUUCACUUCAAAUCCACCAUUAGCAUCCAUCUUCAUUCAUUUCAUAGUCCACAACCACCCAUCUUCCACAAUCAACCACCAUCAUCCCAUCUUCUGGAGCCAUCCAUCUUAAUCCCUUUCACAGCUCACCACCACCCGUCUUCCACAGUCAACUAUAACAAAUACUACCGACUUCUCUUUCAUUGGGCAGUUAUUUUCGACACCAAAGUUAAUCUUGAGUUCCGACGACGAACCUUCACUGAUGACAAGGCUACUGUAUCAAUUCACGAAGUGGUUGAACUUUGAACUUUGAUUUUCAUUUUUAGUCCACCACCAUGCACUAUGAGCUAAAUGCCCCAUAUGUUUUAGCGAGUUUGGUGGCAAAAUUCCUAUAGGCAUCAGAAGGAGAGUUCCAUCGGAAAAGGACCUUAGGAGGCAGUGAUAGUGACGAAUAGCAUGUGUCAAAUGAAGGUAGAAGACAGAUUGUAGAUUUGAAACAUUGGGGGAAAUUGAUUAAGUGAUAAGGGCGCGGGAGUAGAGGGUGGUCGGUUAGUUGGUUUCCGAUGACGAUGGUUGCAAUUGGUAGUAGGGGCGAGUGGGGGGAGAGAGAUAGAGAGUCACAGAUUUUUUUGAAUGAGAAGGAGUGGGG